CUCUAUUGAAUGACCUGGAGCUCUAAAUUCCAACCUGUUGAAAAGUCUUUCCUCCACUUCCCUUACCCAGAAGGAAAAAAAAGGGUUCCUGUAUUUUUGAAAGCAUCCAUUAGAGGAAGAACAAACAACAAUAGCUGCUGAGAAGGACUGAUCCUUUAACUUCAGGGGCCACCCUGAAGAUCCUUUCCAUCACUUAGCCUCCCCAAGAAGGACAUUUUCCACUUGUUAAGAAAAAUUUGGUCAACAGAGAUAUUCAUUGCUUCAAUGAAUACCAGGAAGACUUAGAUUUGGAAGGACUUUCAACAAUUCAAUAUAGAAAUGGGGGAACCAAGAUGGCGGAGUAGAAGCAAGGAAAGCUAGAGCCACUUUGAGAACCAUCUUGGUGCUUCAGAACAAAUAUAAGAGUGAAAGAUCAAAUGAGGGGUGGAGUGAAGCAAAGAUCCUGCAGAAAACAAUUGGAAAGACACAUUUUCUCACUUCCAUUGUCCAUCAUGUGGGCACACCAUCCUCUACUACAGAUCCUGACUCGAUUACAACUUCAAAUAUCUUGUGAAUAAAUAGCUUUUGAUAAAAUAUACAUUAUCUUGAAAGAGCAUCAUCACUUUGAUAAUUUCAUCUGGAUUUUCCAUGGAUUCCAGUAUAACGUUUUGGAUUUUUAACUCUUAAAAAAAAAGAUAAACUCCAAGAAAAUAUUGCCAUGCCUUCACUCCAUGAUCACAUUGGGUAUUAUGGUAAGAAAUUAGUAUAUGAUUUAACAUAUCCUGUAGUACAAAAAAGCUACAAAAU
rnacentral:lncRNA from 1 species